rnacentral:rRNA from 1 species
UCGAGAAUCUUUGUCAAUGGGCGAAAGCCUGAACAAGCGAUGCCGCGUGCGGGAUGAAGGCCUUCGGGUUGUAAACCGCUGUCAGAGGGAAGGAAAUUUUGACCGAUCCUCAAAGGAAGCCCGGGCUAAGUUCGUGCCAGCAGCCGCGGUAAUACGAACCGGGCAAACGUUAUUCGGAAUUACUGGGCUUAAAGGGUGCGUAGGCGGCGCUAUAAGUCGGGUGUGAAAUCCCACGGCUCAACCGUGGAAUUGCGCCCGAUACUGUAGUGCUUGAGGGAGAUAGAGGUGAGCGGAACGAAUGGUGGAGCGGUGAAAUGCGUUGAUAUCAUUCGGAACACCCGUGGCGAAAGCGGCUCACUGGGUCUCUUCUGACGCUGAGGCACGAAAGCUAGGGGAGCGAACGGGAUUAGAUACCCCCGUAGUCC